rnacentral:rRNA from 1 species
UACGGAGGGUGCAAGCGUUAUCCGGAUUUACUGGGUUUAAAGGGUGCGUAGGUGGGUUGGGAAGUCAGUGGUGAAAUACUUUCGCUUAACGAAGGAACUGCCAUUGAUACUAUCAAUCUUGAAUGUAGUGGAGGUAGGCGGAAUGCGUCAUGUAGCGGUGAAAUGCUUAGAUAUGACGCAGAACACCAAUUGCGAAGGCAGCUUGCUACACUACUAUUGACACUGAGGCACGAAAGCGUGGGGAGCGAUCCGG